AUUGAACGCUGGCGGCAUGCCUUACACAUGCAAGUCGAACGGCAGCACGGGAGCAAUCCUGGUGGCGAGUGGCGAACGGGUGAGUAAUAUAUCGGAACGUGCCCGGUCGUGGGGGAUAACGUAGCGAAAGCUACGCUAAUACCGCAUACGAUCUACGGAUGAAAGCGGGGGAUCGCAAGACCUCGCGCGAUUGGAGCGGCCGAUAUCAGAUUAGGUAGUUGGUGAGGUAAAGGCUCACCAAGCCGACGAUCUGUAGCUGGUCUGAGAGGACGACCAGCCACACUGGGACUGAGACACGGCCCAGACUCCUACGGGAGGCAGCAGUGGGGAAUUUUGGACAAUGGGCGCAAGCCUGAUCCAGCAAUGCCGCGUGCAGGAUGAAGGCCUUCGGUUGUAAACUGCUUUGUACGGAACGAACGGUAGAGCUCUAAUACAGUUG
rnacentral:rRNA from 1 species